GAUGAACGCUAGCUACAGGCUUAACACAUGCAAGUCGAGGGGUAACAAGAGGAAAGCUUGCUUUCCUUGUCGACGACCGGCGCACGGGUGGGUAACGCGUAUCCAACCUGCCCCCAACUAGGGAAUAACCUUGCGAAAGUAAGACUAAUACCCUAUAAUUUCCUCAGAUGUCAUCUGACGAGGAAUAAAGAUUUAUCGGUUGUGGAUGGGGAUGCGUCUGAUUAGCUUGUUGGCGGGGUAACGGCCCACCAAGGCAACGAUCAGUAGGGGUUCUGAGAGGAAGGUCCCCCACAUUGGAACUGAGACACGGUCCAAACUCCUACGGGAGGCAGCAGUGAGGAAUAUUGGUCAAUGGGCGGAAGCCUGAACCAGCCAAGUAGCGUGCAGGAUAACGGCCCUAUGGGUUGUAAACUGCUUUUAUACAGGAAUAAAGUUAGCCACGUGUGGUUAUUUGUAGGUACUGUAUGAAUAAGGACCGGCUAAUUCCGUGCCAGCCGCCGCCGUAA
rnacentral:rRNA from 1 species